UACGAAGGGGGCUAGCGUUGUUCGGAUUCAUUGGGCGUAAAGGGUGCGUAGGUGGCGGGGUAAGUCAGGUGUGAAAUUUCGGAGCUUAACUCCGAAACUGCAUUUGAUACUGCCUUGCUUGAGGACUGGAGAGGAGACUGGAAUUCACGGUGUAGCAGUGAAAUGCGUAGAUAUCGUGAGGAAGACCAGUGGCGAAGGCGGGUCUCUGGACAGUUCCUGACACUGAGGCACGAAGGCCAGGGGAGCAAACGGG
rnacentral:rRNA from 1 species